UACAGGGGGUGCGAGCGUUGUCCGGAAUCACUGGGCGUAAAGGGCGCGUAGGCGGCUUGAUAAGGUUGCGGUGAAAGCCCGGGGCUCAACCCCGGGUCGGCCGUGGCAACUGUCGAGCUGGAGCACUGUAGAGGCAGGUGGAAUUCCGGGUGUAGCGGUGGAAUGCGUAGAGAUCCGGAAGAACACCGGUGGCGAAGGCGGCCUGCU
rnacentral:rRNA from 1 species